AGAGUUUGAUCAUGGCUCAGGAUGAACGCUAGCGGCAGGCUUAACACAUGCAAGUCGAGGGGCAGCACGGGUAGCAAUACUUGGUGGCGACCGGCGCACGGGUGAGUAACGCGUAUGCAACCUUCCUUUAACUGGGACAUAGCCCGGCGAAAGUCGGAUUAAUUUCCCAUAACAUUACAUGAAGGCAUCUGAUUGUAAUUAAAGCUCCGGCGGUUAAAGAUGGGCAUGCGUGUCAUUAGCUAGUUGGUAAGGUAACGGCUUACCAAGGCUACGAUGACUAGGGGUUCUGAGAGGAUGAUCCCCCACACUGGUACUGAGACACGGACCAGACUCCUACGGGAGGCAGCAGUGAGGAAUAUUGGUCAAUGGGCGCAAGCCUGAACCAGCCAUGCCGCGUGAAGGAAGACGGCCCUAUGGGUUGUAAACUUCUUUUGUUAGGGACGAAACUAAGAUACGUGUAUUUUACUGACGGUACCUAACGAAUAAGCAACGGCUAACUCCGUGCCAGCAGCCGCGGUAAUACGGAGGUUGCAAGCGUUAUCCGGAUUUAUUGGGUUUAAAGGGUGCGUAGGCGGUAACAUAAGUCAGUGGUGAAAAGCUGCAGCUCAACUGUAGUCCUGCCAUUGAAACUGUUUUACUUGAGUAACCAUGAGGUAGGCGGAAUGUGUAGUGUAGCGGUGAAAUGCUUAGAUAUUACACAGAACACCGAUUGCGUAGGCAGCUUACUAGAGGUUCACUGACGCUGAUGCACGAAAGCGUGGGGAUCAAACAGGAUUAGAUACCCUGGUAGUCC
rnacentral:rRNA from 1 species